rnacentral:rRNA from 1 species
UUGACGGGACCCCGCACAAGCGGUGGAUCAUGUUGUUUAAUUCGACGAUACGCGAAGAACCUUACCAGGUCUUGACAUCCCCUGCAAAGCUAUGGAGACAUAGUGGAGGUUAUCAGGGAGACAGGUGGUGCAUGGUUGUCGUCAGCUCGUGUCGUGAGAUGUUGGGUUAAGUCCCGCAACGAGCGCAACCCUUAUUGCUAGUUACCAUCAUUGAGUUGGGGACUCUAGCGAGACUGCCAGUGAUAAACUGGAGGAAGGUGGGGAUGACGUCAAAUCAUCAUGCCCCUUAUGACCUGGGCUACAAACGUGAUACAAUGGCUGAAACAACGGGCAGCGAAGGAGCGAUCUGGAGCGAAACCCAAAAAAGCAGUCUCAGUUCGGAUUGAAGUCUGCAACUCGACUUCAUGAAGUCGGAAUCGCUAGUAAUCGCGGAUCAGAACGCCGCGGUGAAUACGUUCUCGGGGUUU